UUCCUGAUCAACUGAACGCCUCAUGCAUCAUGAGUUUCUUUGGGAAGUUGAAAACAUCUGUACUACAUAGCGGACCACCAGCUCCACCCAGGAGAACAGGU